rnacentral:rRNA from 1 species
GAUGAACGCUAGCGACAGGCCUAACACAUGCAAGUCGAGGGGCAGCAUAGAGGUAGCAAUACUUUGGUGGCGACCGGCGCACGGGUGAGUAACACGUAUGCAACCUACCUGUAAGAGGGGAAUAACCCGGAGAAAUUCAGACUAAUACCGCAUAAAACCACGAAUUCGCAUGGAUUUGUGUUUAAACAUUUAUGGCUUACAGAUGGGCAUGCGUAUGAUUAGCUAGUUGGUAGGGUAACGGCCUACCAAGGCAACGAUCAUUAGGGGUUCUGAGAGGAAGGUCCCCCACACUGGCACUGAGACACGGACCAGACUCCUACGGGAGGCAGCAGUGAGGAAUAUUGGUCAAUGGGCGAGAGCCUGAACCAGCCAAGUCGCGUGAAGGAAGAAGGUUCUAUGGAUUGUAAACUUCUUUUGUAAGGGAAUAAAAAGAGUUACGUGUAACUUAUUGUAUGUACUUUACGAAUAAGGAUCGGCUAACUCCGUGCCAGCAGCCGCAGUAAAAC